rnacentral:rRNA from 1 species
CCUACGGGAGGCAGCAGUGGGGAAUUUUGGACAAUGGGCGAAAGCCUGAUCCAGCAAUGCCGCGUGAGUGGAGAAGGCCUUCGGGUUGUAAAGCUCUUUUGUCAGGGAAGAAACGGUGAGAGCUAAUAUCUCUUGCUAAUGACGGUACCUGAAGAAUAAGCACCGGCUAACUACGUGCCAGCAGCCGCGGUAAUACGUAGGGUGCAAGCGUUAAUCGGAAUUACUGGGCGUAAAGCGUGCGCAGGCGGUUUUGUAAGUCUGAUGUGAAAUCCCCGGGCUCAACCUGGGAAUUGCAUUGGAGACUGCAAGGCUAGAAUCUGGCAGAGGGGGGUAGAAUUCCACGUGUAGCAGUGAAAUGCGUAGAUAUGUGGAGGAACACCGAUGGCGAAGGCAGCCCCCUGGGUCAAGAUUGACGCUCAUGCACGAAAGCGUGGGGAGCAAACAGGAUUAGAUACCCUGGUAGUCCACGCCCUAAACGAUGUCUACUAGUUGUCGGGUCUUAAUUGACUUGGUAACGCAGCUAACGCGUGAAGUAGACCGCCUGGGGAGUACGGUCGCAAGAUUAAAACNCAAAUGAAAUUGACCGGNUGAGACGNGCGAGACGACGACGAGGGAGAGG